rnacentral:rRNA from 1 species
AACGAACGCUGGCGGCAGGCUUAACACAUGCAAGUCGAACGGGCGUAGCAAUACGUCAGUGGCGGACGGGUGAGUAACACGUGGGAAUAUGCCUUUCGGUUCGGAACAACUCGGGGAAACUCGUGCUAAUUCCGGAUACGCCCGUUACGGGGAAAGAUUUAUCGCCGAAGGAUUAGCCCGCGUUGGAUUAGCUAGUUGGUGAGGUAAUGGCCCACCAAGGCGACGAUCCAUAGCUGGUUUGAGAGAACGACCAGCCACACUGGGACUGAGACACGGCCCAGACUCCUACGGGAGGCAGCAGUGGGGAAUCUUGGACAAUGGAGGAAACUCUGAUCCAGCCAUGCCGCGUGAGUGAUGAAGGCCUUC